GGAGAAGAGAAGAAAGGAUCAGAUUUGACACAUCAAAAAAUUGACCAGGAGAGUGACACAGAAGGAAUGUAUGAGGACUCUGUGAGUGACCACAGUUAUGAUUCCAGUGCGGAAGAAAUGUUUUUGGAAGGAAAAGAUCCACUUUUAGACCAUGCCAGGGACUCGGAUGAACAAUGGGAACCCACAAUGUCAAGGUGUCCAUCCCCCACUAAUUCAGACGCUGAAGCUGGUUCAUCCAGCCGGACCCCUGCUGUCUCCUGCUCCACACCUUCCCCCGCCCGGCCAUCUA